rnacentral:rRNA from 1 species
GGAUACUGGAAACCGGAGCUAAUACCGGAUAAUAUUUCGAACCGCAUGGUUCGAUAGUGAAAGAUGGUUUUGCUAUCACUUAUAGAUGGACCCGCGCCGUAUUAGCUAGUUGGUAAGGUAACGGCUUACCAAGGCGACGAUACGUAGCCGACCUGAGAGGGUGAUCGGCCACACUGGAACUGAGACACGGUCCAGACUCCUACGGGAGGCAGCAGA